GACGAACGCUGGCGGCGUGCUUAACACAUGCAAGUCGUACGGUAAGGCCCUUUCGGGGGUACACGAGUGGCGAACGGGUGAGUAACACGUGAGUAACCUGCCCACAACUUUGGGAUAACGCUAGGAAACUGGUGCUAAUACUGGAUAUGUGCUCCUGCUGCAUGGUGGGGGUUGGAGAGCUCCGGCGGUUGUGGAUGGACUCGCGGCCUAUCAGCUUGUUGGUGGGGUAGUGGCCUACCAAGGCGGCGACGGGUAGCCGGCCUGAGAGGGUGACCGGCCACAUUGGGACUGAGAUACGGCCCAGACUCCUACGGGAGGCAGCAGUGGGGAAUAUUGCACAAUGGGCGCAAGCCUGAUGCAGCAACGCCGCGUGCGGGAUGACGGCCUUCGGGUUGUAAACCGCUUUCAGCAGGGACGAAGCUUUUUGUGACGGUACCUGCAGAAGAAGCACCGGCUAACUACGUG
rnacentral:rRNA from 1 species